UGACUGCAAGGUUCCCCUUUUGGGUUAAGGGGACUCUCUACAUGUAUGUGGCUAUGGAAGUGAAAUUUUGUGUCAACACGUUGAGUGUCAUCAUGAGCAACAGAAAGAAUGAAUGGAUGGUAAGCUUUUUUGAGAAGCCUCAGAAGAAGAAAAGUAAGCAGUAAGAAAAUGAGUGACAGGACAGGACUAUGCCGUUCUAAAGGAUAUGAGUCGGUGUUCUUGAGGUCGACCUCGGCUGUUACCCUAUUGAACCAAAAUGUAGUGGCUGAUUUCCCCAAGUCAUAGCCAGAGGUCAGACAUUCAUGCAAGGUUAACUACUUGAUAAUAUAAAGAGCUAUAAACUGUGCAUUAAAUAUUUGAUGUGGCUUUAAGAGUACUGAGUCACCAGAAAGCCCAAGAAAAAAAGAAAGAGAAAAAAGAAAACACAGAC